rnacentral:snoRNA from 1 species
AUCCCAUGAUGAGGACAGGCAGCCAUGUGCUCCUGCAGUCGUUCCCAUGCUUCUGGAACAGACUAGUCCCUUGUCUGCUGGAAACUGGAAAUUCGUCCAUGAAGGGC